GUUGCUUUGAACAACCCUUAGCUAACGCAAACAUUAGUGCUUGUUUCUUUGUUACAUGAACAAGGAACUUGAGAGGUAAGCACAAGGGCAUGGACACUUUAUGUGCCAUGAUUCUUCACUUACAAAUUGUUGUAUAAAGAAAUGAGAGUUGCCUUGAACAACUCUUGAAAGUUUGUAAUUAUGUUUAGAACAUAAUGGUUGGUUGACAAAAAUAGUCCAUCAACAUGGACUUAUGAUGAUUUUGAAUCAUUGAGUGUUGAAGUGUUAAACCACUUCUAGAGAUGGAAACUAGGCAAGGACUUCACCUUUGUGUCCCUAUCCAAAUGGUUCACUAAGUUUAUUGUAAACUAUAUAGUGAACAAUAACCACACGCUCUCCAAAUCACUUGAUGUGUAUAACACAAUUGAAAUAAGUUUCAAGAGAGAUAGUGGGAGUUUAGGGACCAUGACAAUUGUAGUCAAAGGAGAAGUCAAAUGAAGAAGGGGAAAUAACUCCAAGGGAACAAACUUUCUUUAUGAAAGGAUGGACAUUAGAAGGGGUAUUUGCAAGAAAUGUCUUGCAAGUGUCAAGAACACACCUUUCGAAGGUGUUGUAAAUUGUUCUUGAAUAGUUCAAAACAGUUGCUUCUUCUACUUGAAUGCUUGAUUCUGUAUUAGUAACUAUGUUUUACAAUCGUUGUAAAAGUAUGGCUAAUAAGAAGUAGAAGAUUAAUGAGAGAAGAGAAAGUACUUCACAUUCGGAACGUGAAUCAGAUGUAGAUCUCUGCAAAAGUAGGUAGUACUUACUUCCUCAUAUGAACUACCAAAGAAAAUGGAAAAACAAAUAUUGUCUUUACAUUCCAAUUGAAUAAAGAAACUUAAUUCCGUAUGAGAAAUGGAUAAAUGUUUUGUUUGACAAAACAUUGUUCUUUAUUAAUGAAUGAUUAGAUUAUUGUAAUCUAAUUGAUUAUCUCUAUAGUAGAGAUGAUAUGGUAGUGUUAACUGUUUAGAAUAUAACGAUGCUUAAAACCCCAAAGAUUGCAAGGUAGUGACUAAUCCCAUAUGAGUUGUGAUACCUCUAAAACAUAAAUUA
rnacentral:lncRNA from 1 species